GAUGAACGCUGGCGGCGUGCCUAAUACAUGCCAGUCGAGCGAACAGAUAAGGAGCUUGCUCCUUUGACGUUAGCGGCGGACGGGUGAGUAACACGUGGGUAACCUACCUAUAAGACUGGAAUAACUCCGGGAAACCGGGGCUACUGCAGGAUAACAUGUUGAACUGCAUGGUUCUACAGUGAAAGGCGGCUUUGCUGUCACUUAUAGAUGGACCCGCGCCGUAUUAGCUAGUUGGUGAGGUAACGGCUCACCAAGGCAACGAUACGUAACCGACCUGAGAGGGUGAUCGGCCACACUGGAACUGAGACACGGUCCAGACUCCUACGGGAGGCAGCAGUAGGGAAUCUUCCGCAAUGGGCGAAAGCCUGACGGAGCAACGCCGCGUGAGUGAUGAAGGUCUUCGGAUCGUAAAACUCUGUUAUUAGGGAAGAACAAAUGCGUAAGUAACUGUGCGCGUCUUGACGGUACCUAAUCAGAAAGCCACGGCUAACUACGUG
rnacentral:rRNA from 1 species